CAUUGAAACUGCACCGCUCGACCACAUCGUGUUAUUUACAUUGAUGACAUCUUCUAAAAAGAAACGCAAAACCACAAGAUCGCUCUCUGUAGCUUCAUUCAACCUGAACAGUUAUCGGAUGUGGAAAUGCAAAGACUGCAGCCUGUCAUUUGAUGUUUUCUCAUGCUGU